GAUGAAGAACGUAGCGAAAUGCGAUAAGUAAUGUGAAUUGCAGAAUUCAGUGAAUCAUCGAAUCUUUGAACGCACAUUGCGCCCUCUGGUAUUCCGGGGGGCAUGCCUGUUCGAGCGUCAUUAUAACCACUCAAGCUCUCGCUUGGUAUUGGGCAACGCGGUCCGCCGCGUGCCUCAAAUCGACCGGCUGGGUCUUCUGUCCCCUAAGCGUUGUGGAAACUUUCGCUAAAGGGUGUUCGGGAGGCUACGCCGUAAAACAACCCCAUUUCUAAGGUUGACCUCGGAUCAGGUAGGGAUACCCGCUGAACUUAAGCAUAUCAAUAAGCGGAGGA
rnacentral:misc_RNA from 1 species